rnacentral:rRNA from 1 species
GAUGAAUGCUGGCGGCGUGCCUAAUACAUGCAAGUCGAGCGAACGGACGAGAAGCUUGCUUCUCUGAUGUUAGCGGCGGACGGGUGAGUAACACGUGGAUAACCUACCUAUAAGACUGGGAUAACUUCGGGAAACCGGAGCUAAUACCGGAUAAUAUUUUGAACCGCAUGGUUCAAAAGUGAAAGACGGUUUUGCUGUCACUUAUAGAUGGAUCCGCGCUGCAUUAGCUAGUUGGUAAGGUAACGGCUUACCAAGGCAACGAUGCAUAGCCGACCUGAGAGGGUGAUCGGCCACACUGGAACUGAGACACGGUCCAGACUCCUACGGGAGGCAGCAGUAGGGAAUCUUCCGCAAUGGGCGAAAGCCUGACGGAGCAACGCCGCGUGAGUGAUGAAGGUCUUCGGAUCGUAAAACUCUGUUAUUAGGGAAGAACAUAUGUGUAAGUAACUGUGCACAUCUUGACGGUACCUAAUCAGAAAGCCACGGCUAACUACGUG